AACGAACGCUGGCGGCAUGCCUAACACAUGCAAGUCGAACGAACCCUUCGGGUUUAGUGGCGCACGGGUGCGUAACGCGUGGGAACCUGCCCUUUGGUUCGGAAUAACUCCCCGAAAGGUGUGCUAAUACCGGAUAUUCUCUUCGGACCAAAGAUUUAUCGCCUUUGGAUGGGCCCGCGUUGGAUUAGCUAGUUGGUUGGGUAAUAGCAUACCAAGGCGACGAUCAAUAGCUGGUCUGAGAGGAUGAUCAGCCACACUGGGACUGAGACACGGCCCAGACUCCUACGGGAGGCAGCAGUGGGGAAUAUUGGGCAAUGGGCGAAAGCCUGAAGCAGCAAUGCCGCGUGAAUGAUGAAGGUCUUAGGAUUGUAAAGUUCUUUAACCGGGGAAGAUAAUGACGGUACCGGGAGAAGAAGCUCCGGCUAACUCCGUG
rnacentral:rRNA from 1 species